GGCCCUUUUGUGAAUGCCUGCCUAUGCCAAAUCUAAAUAUUAGUCAAAUGUAUGAUUAAUAAUUUAGCCUUAAAUAAAAUUAUCCAGAUGAUGACCUUUCACCUGACGACGACCUCAUCCGACCGGGACUAUUCCUCACGCCGCACGGCCGCAGCACGCGCAUUUUUUAAUUACCGGAAGAUAUCUUCAACACCGCGGCAGCUGUGCAAAGAUGCCUCGCAAGGAGAGGAUAAAAAACAAAAAAGAAGGAGCUGCUUGAGUCAGCAAAAGGCAGUGGAUCCCUAUCCAGCUGGUUUAUGAAGAGCACAACAGCUCUUGGUGUGCAGCAGCCUCUGUGAGCAUCUCCCUCUUAUUUUCUUGGAGCAGUCAGCCUUGGCAGUCUCUCAGAUCAACUCUAGUAUUAGCAGCAGCAACAACAACAACAGCAAAGGCAGCAUACUCACUCAAGGAAUUUAGUAAGAUUUUACCAGAACAGGUAUCGCAUUAAUGUAAAAAAUCUGUUGUAUUUGCUGUAAAAUAAAAUUGCUGUAUUUUUUCUGUUUGCUUUGUUUUUGUUUUUAUUAUAUUAAUGGAACUCUUGUAUUUUUGUAAUUCAGUUUUUGCCAU